GCCAGGUGCGGUGGUGGGCGCCUGUAAUCCCAGCUACUUGGGAGGCUGAGGCAGGAGAAUUGCUUGAACCUGGGAAGCAGAGGUUGCAGUGAGCCGAGAUCAUGCCACUGCACUACAGCCUGGGUGACAGAGCAAAAUUCUGCCUCAG
ensembl:misc_RNA Metazoa_SRP Metazoan signal recognition particle RNA